GCUUACGGCCACACCGCUAGUUCACGCCCGAUUUCGUUUGAUCUCGGAAGCUAAGAUAGGUUGGCCCUGGUUAGUACUUGGAUGGGGAGACCGCCUGGGAAUACCAGGUGCUGUAAGCU
rnacentral:rRNA from 1 species